AUGAACGCUGGCGGCGUGCCUAAUACAUGCAAGUCGAGCGAACGGACGAGAAGCUUGCUUCUCUGAUGUUAGCGGCGGACGGGUGAGUAACACGUGGAUAACCUACCUAUAAGACUGGGAUAACUUCGGGAAACCGGAGCUAAUACCGGAUAAUAUUUUGAACCGCAUGGUUCAAAAGUGAAAGACGGUCUUGCUGUCACUUAUAGAUGGAUCCGCGCUGCAUUAGCUAGUUGGUAAGGUAACGGCUUACCAAGGCAACGAUGCAUAGCCGACCUGAGAGGGUGAUCGGCCACACUGGAACUGAGACACGGUCCAGACUCCUACGGGAGGCAGCAGUAGGGAAUCUUCCGCAAUGGGCGAAAGCCUGACGGAGCAACGCCGCGUGAGUGAUGAAGGUCUUCGGAUCGUAAAACUCUGUUAUUAGGGAAGAACAUACGUGUAAGUAACUGUGCACAUCUUGACGGUACCUAAUCAGAAAGCCACGGCUAACUACGUG
rnacentral:rRNA from 1 species